rnacentral:rRNA from 1 species
UACGUAGGGGGCAAGCGUUGUCCGGAUCUAUUGGGCGUAAAGAGCGUGUAGGCGGCCACGCAGGUCCGUUGUGAAAACUGGAGGCUCAACCUUCAGACGUCGACGGAAACCGUAUGGCUAGAGUCCGGAAGAGGAGAGUGGAAUUCCUGGUGUAGCGGUGAAAUGCGUAGAGAUCAGGAAGAACAUCGGUGGCGAAGGCGCUCUGCUGGACCAUAACUGACACUCAGGGACGAAAGCUAGGGGAGCGAAUGGG